rnacentral:snRNA from 1 species
CACCCAAAAUCGUAUCACAACA